UACGGGGGGGGCAAGCGUUGUUCGGAAUUACUGGGCGUAAAGGGCUCGUAGGCGGCCAACUAAGUCGGACGUGAAAUCCCCAGGCUCAACCUGGGAACUGCGUCCGAUACUGGAUGGCUUGAAUUCGGGAGAGGGAUGCAGAAUUCCAGGUGUAGCGGUGAAAUGCGUAGAUAUCUGGAGGAACACCGAUGGCGAAGGCAGUUCUCUGGGCCGUAACUGACGCUGAGGAGCGAAAGCGUGGGGAGCGAACAGG
rnacentral:rRNA from 1 species